rnacentral:rRNA from 1 species
UACAGAGGGUGCGAGCGUUAAUCGGAAUUACUGGGCGUAAAGCGCGCGUAGGCGGCUUUGCAAGUCGGGUGUGAAAUCCCCAGGCUUAACCUGGGAACUGCAUUCGAGACUGCAUUGCUAGAGUAUGGGAGAGGGCAGUGGAAUUUCCGGUGUAGCGGUGAAAUGCGUAGAUAUCGGAAGGAACAUCAGUGGCGAAAGCGACUGCCUGGACCGAUACUGACGCUCAUGUGCGAAAGCGUGGGGAGCAAACAGG